rnacentral:sRNA from 1 species
UUAGGUAUUUUAUAUCUUUAUUUAUUCUAUCUAUUAU